AUAUAUUUGCACCAUUUUAUCCAACCAAUGCUCAAAUUACACUACUGAUACAGUAUAUAUCAUAAGGUAGAUAAGAAACUGAGGAAAAAAAAACCGGAAUUCAAUGCUUUGCAUAAUAAAAAACCCAGCCAGUUAUUGAAAAAAGAAGAAGAAAAGAUUAAUAAAUAAAUAACACUGAAUUAUCUUCCUCUAUAACUAUUAGACCAAUAAUUGGACUGGUAAACAAAAAACAUCAGCAUAGUUUGAUUCAACAGAAAAAUGAACAAAACCAUAAUAAAAACUCAUAGAUACCAUUUGUAAAAGGGCAGGACUUGAUAGGACCUCGUAGUCUGUAGUCAUUUGUAUCUUGGCACCUCCUCUCGAUUACAACUCUUUCUAAUUUCUAGAACAUCUAGAACCAUCCUGUAAUAACAAAAAAAGAGUCAUGAUUUACAGCUACAAACCCCAAACCAAAUCAGGCAUACCCACUGAAAGCUUAUCCCAUUUACUAAACUGAAAACUAAACCAUUGCAUACCAGUUGAAGGAUGGUCCCAGUUNNNNNNNNNNNNNNNNNNNNGUAAUAACAAAAAAAGAGUCAUGAUUUACAGCUACAAACCCCAAACCAAAUCAGGCAUACCCACUGAAAGCUUAUCCCAUUUACUAAACUGAAAACUAAACCAUUGCAUACCAGUUGAAGGAUGGUCCCAGUUGUUAAUCUGGAGUGUGCUUUUGCAGAGGUUGCCGAAAAACAAUCCAAUGUUGCUCAAGAAUGCAUUUAGAAAGCUCUUCCUUUCAAAUGUGAAGAAUCCAACAGUAGGAGACCUUGAGAAAGAGUCACCAUAACAGUCAUUAAUUUCACAAAAUUCAUUCAUACUUGGUGAAAAUCAAGACUCAGUAUAGGUUUAAAAGUAUAAUAAAGGUCAAUCUCUUUUGAUUACGGGGAUAUACCAACGAAACAAGUUACAACCAAACAAUAGCUCAGAUUUAUCAAACAUGCAAACAAAGCAACCAUAAUUCAUGUUUAUUAUUCUCAAAACAUCAGACAGUCCACACAAACAAGAACACAGAAAAAGAAAACUUUGGUUUACCAGCUAAGGAAACACAAUCAACUCUCCGAUAAGCCUCAACUAUCAACCUUACAUCAACUAUCAGAAACCCAAACCCACAGUCGAUCAACAAUUCCACACAAAAUCCUCAUCCAAUAAUCACAAUCAAAGCUAGAUCAUCAACCAAAACCAUAAAAAACCUAGUCUAGUGCACUUCAAAAAUCCAAAGCUAGGAAGUCGCGCCGAUGAUGCCAGAAACGAUGAUCAAUACUACGAUCUGAUGAGUGCGUGGGUUGAAUCGAAACGACUAGGCUUAGAGUUCUGAGGCUACGGUUUUUGAAAUUGGGGGAAAUUGAUCAAUUGAAUUGAAAUCUAGAGAGAAUUAAAGCAGAAGCAAAGACUAAGCUAGAUUCACAGAAGCCACAUACUUGAACCCAGAUGUGUUGAUCCAAACUUGAAUCAACGCCUAAAGAAAUAAGAGUGGUAAGAGUAAUACCUGAAAUCCCGGAGAUUCGCCGAUCCAAACUUGUAUUCAGCUUACGGAGUUGUGUUGCUGGGUUUCAACCCUCAACCUGAUACAGACUCUUUUCUCUCGCCUCACCUCUCAUUUGAUCUCAUAUUGUGCCUCUAAACCCUCACGCUCUCAUCUCCUUAUUUCCCCUCGUUUCUGCGUCCUUUUACCACGGAAUUGACUACCCUGCCCCUCAGUCACUUUUUCGAUUUUUUAUCUGGCUUGACGGUCGGCUUGGACGGUGACGGUCGGCUCGAUUACUCCCGGUGUAUUCUAGCCCACUCCUUGGGAUUCUUGUGGUUGUUCUUCAUUACUCUAGUCUAAUCUGUGAACUUACAAGCUUCAGUGAGUCCGGCCAAGUUAUAUUUACCUUGUAGCCUAAGGCAUGAUUGCAUGAACCUUCUUUUCUCUAGCUGUUCUUCCUCUGUCUCUGUUUCUGAAUGGGGUGGCUCUUGUGUUACCUAGUAACACUGCUUUUAUCUCAUAUCCUGUCAUUAUGUACCUGCCAAGACAAAUUAGUACCAGGACAGUGUAUCACUGGUAAUCAAACUUUGGUUUCUUCCCUUGGGACAUUUUCAUUAGGCUUCUUCAAUCCUGAGAAUUCUACCAAAUACUUCCUUGGUAUACGAUUCAACACUUCCCCAGAUACUGCAUUGGUAUGGAUUGCUAACAGAGAAUCUCCGCUCGAUGCUCCGGGUUUCUUUAUGCUCAGCAGAGAUGGAAACCUUGUGGUGUUGGAUGAUAAUAGAAACCUUGUGAAGGUAUAGGGUUGUUGGCAAUCCUUAUAUAGAACAAAACACAAUCUAUGAAGCAUAAAGCAAUUGGGAGAUUGGUCUUGCACAUCUGAAGAACAAGUUGAAGAAGUAGAAGAACCAACAUGAUCUCAUGGAACUCAGGUAAAAUCAUGCAUGUGCAUUUCAAGAUUUUUCACAGAGGAUAGCAGUAUCACUUGCCAUCCUAAAAAUCUGGGUUUCCAGCUUUUUUGAUCUUUUGUUCAGUUGUCUUAUAUUUAAGUUUCUUUACCCUUGUUCCAUAAGAACUAUGUCUGGGUGAGAUCCUCAUUUGAAUUUCAAAUUGACAACUAAGAUAAAAGACAUGCCUUGGUGCUUAAAUUAGUCUUGGGUUUGAUGCCUUUAUCUCAACCUGUGACCAAUGUUUUAGCUUUUAGGCUUCAGCUGUGGUUUGCUGUGUUUGUGAUACACAAACCAAUAUUUGCAGCUAUCUUUGUUUGAUAUCAGAGAAAAGUGGUUUGCUAAACCAUUAUGGUANNNNNNNNNNNNNNNNNNNNNNNNNNNNNNNNNNNNNNNNNNNNNNNNNNNNNNNNNNNNNNNNNNNNNNNNNNNNNNNNNNNNNNNNNNNNNNNNNNNNNNNNNNNNNNNNNNNNNNNNNNNNNNNNNNNNNNNNNNNNNNNNNNNNNNNNNNNNNNNNNNNNNNNNNNNNNNNNNNNNNNNNNNNNNNNNNNNNNNNNNNNNNNNNNNNNNNNNNNNNNNNNNNNNNNNNNNNNNNNNNNNNNNNNNNNNNNNNNNNNNNNNNNNNNNNNNNNNNNNNNNNNNNNNNNNNNNNNNNNNNNNNNNNNNNNNNNNNNNNNNNNNNNNNNNNNNNNNNNNNNNNNNNNNNNNNNNNNNNNNNNNNNNNNNNNNNNNNNNNNNNNNNNNNNNNNNNNNNNNNNNNNNNNNNNNNNNNNNNNNNNNNNNNNNNNNNNNNNNNNNNNNNNNNNNNNNNNNNNNNNNNNNNNNNNNNNNNNNNNNNNNNNNNNNNNNNNNNNNNNNNNNNNNNNNNNNNNNNNNNNNNNNNNNNNNNNNNNNNNNNNNNNNNNNNNNNNNNNNNNNNNNNNNNNNNNNNNNNNNNNNNNNNNNNNNNNNNNNNNNNNNNNNNNNNNNNNNNNNNNNNNNNNNNNNNNNNNNNNNNNNNNNNNNNNNNNNNNNNNNNNNNNNNNNNNNNNNNNNNNNNNNNNNNNNNNNNNNNNNNNNNNNNNNNNNNNNNNNNNNNNNNNNNNNNNNNNNNNNNNNNNNNNNNNNNNNNNNNNNNNNNNNNNNNNNNNNNNNNNNCUGGAUAGCUAUAACCCUUGCUAUCCCUGAGAACGAAUUUAUACGAAAAAAAGUUAAUGGCCUAUUCAACCCCCCCCCCCCCCCCCCCCCUCCCUAGGACCUUUACUUUGUGUGGUCAACUAAUGCUUCAAUAUCUGCUUCUGCAAUGAAUCAUACAACUGGAUUACUAGCGGAUACCGGAAACCUUGUUCUUAGCUUUGGAGAAGGCACCUUGUGGCAGAGCUUCGAUUACCCCUCUGAUACUAUGUUGCCCGGCAUGAAGAUUACCUUGAAUAAAACGACUGGCCAACAAAGGCGCCUUACAUCUUGGGCAGCGCUUUAUGAUCCACACCCCGGAAAGUUCACCUUCGGCAUUGAUCCUAAAGUACCACUUCAGCUCUUUAUCUGGAAGGAAACUUCUCCGUAUUAUAGAAGUUCUGUGUUCGUUGGCAAUUUUCCUGAUAUAGGUGGAUCGCCAUUUUUCGUUUCUUACAACUUGGAUAUUGAUGAGGCUUAUGUUGUUUACAGUGUCUCAGAUAGCUCAGUAAAACUGAGGGUCUGGUUGAGUCCUGCAGGGCAAUUUAAACAGCUGCUGUGGCAGGAUUCUAGUAAAACGUGGUUGGAAAUGGGGAGUUCACCUGGUGAUAACUGUGAUUUUUAUGCUUAUUGCGGUCCCAAUAGCGCCUGUCGUAGAGGUGAUUCCCUGUCGUCAUCACCAUGCAAGUGUUUGACUGGUUUUAAAGCCAAGUUUCCGAAACAAUCGGCGGUGGGAGAUUGGUCCGGUGGCUGCGUUAGAGAAAAGGCGUUGACAUGUGGUAACGGCAUUCAAGGCAACCUUUCAAAGCUUGAAAACGUGAAACUGCCGGAUCAUUCUGUUUUAUUACAGAAUAAGACUCUGAGUGAGUGUGUCUCUGAAUGUCGGAAGAACUGUUCUUGCAGGGCUUAUGCCUAUGUAAAUGGGACAGAUGGAAGUAAUAUUUUGAAAUGUUUUGCAUGGUUUGGCGAAUUACUGGAUCUAGUAGAGAAUAAUACUAUUGGGUGUAAAUGAUAUUUAUAUUCGUGUUCCUGGCUCCGAACUAGGUAUAUAUUUCGUUUUUUUGCUAAUUUCUUAUGAAUUUCUGAAGUACAAUCCUUGACAUAGUGAUACGUUGAAAUUGAACUCAUUGGCCAGAAGCUCACCAUUACUUGGAGCUAUCUUUACUAAUAACUAACCACCAGAUCUUUGUUUGUUUUCUAGGCAAAAAUGGUCAUUCUGCUAAUUCCUUGAACCGGACCCUUGUGAUUGCAGUAGUCUCUGCAGCAGUUGGAUUGCUUGCAAUAACUUUUGGCUAUUUCUUAUGGAAGAACAAAUUGGGUACGCACUCCUCGUCUCCUCGAUCCCUUAUGUGCAGGCACAUGGAUUCUAGUAAUCACUUACAAAUAAUAUUCUAACAAUAAUACUGAAACAGGGAGGAUAGCAAUAAGAGCGAGUGAGAAUAUAAGUAAGGUUGGUGCAGCAGGUGGGAAGAAUGAUACAGAACUACCACUCUUCAGUUUAAGGAGUAUAUUAGCUGCUACAAACAACUUUUCUGAAGAUAAUAAACUUGGAGAGGGAGGAUUUGGCCCUGUUUAUAAGGUGACGUUUACAUAAUAUGGUCUUGAUGUAGGACUGCAAGUACAUUCUUCUUCAUUUUGGUAAUUUCCCAUGUUAGUUCUAGAUUACUUAAUUUUGGGGUUAACGUUUGGUUCUCUUUGCUACUAUAGGGAAUUAUGCUGGAAAAUCAAGAAGUGGCCGUAAAGAGGCUAUCAAAGAAGUCUGGGCAAGGGCAUCAUGAGUUCAUGAAUGAGUUGAAACUUAUAGCCAAACUCCAGCAUACCAAUCUUGCUCGUCUCUUGGGAUGCUGUAUGGAUGAAGAUGAACUCAUAUUGGUCUAUGAAUACAUGCCUAAUCGAAGUUUGGACAAAUAUUUGUUUGGUAUGUAUGCUUAUAACUUUGAAGAUUAAACUUUUGACAAUGUGACAUCAAGUCUGAAUCCUUUUUACCUAUCUGUACAACUUUUGGUACGUAAUAUGAUUCAACAUGCAGAAUUAGAGUGAUGUUGAAUUGCUGCAUCACAUACCAAAAGUUGUACAAGGUAGGGAAGAUAAAAAAAAAAUAAAAAAAUAAAAAAAAAAAUCUUAACAUGCAAAUUAAAUUUCUUUAUUCUAAUCUGUCCAACUAGAUCCCUUUGAAAAGACAAAAUUGGACUGGGAUACUCGCUUUCGAAUUAUACAAGGCAUUGCUCAAGGAGUACUAUAUAUCCACAAAUACUCUAGAUUGAAAAUCAUCCACAGAGAUCUAAAAGCAAGUAAUGUUCUGUUGGAUGGAGCAAUGAAUCCCAAAGUGUCUGACUUUGGAAUGGCGAGGAUUUUUGAUACAAAUCAAAUUGAAGCAAACACCAACAAGGUUGUUGGAACAUAGUAAGUCUAUAUAGUCAGUGACUUGUAUCACUGAAAUAUUUAACAUCACUACUGAUACUCAUUCUUUUACUAUUCUUGCAGCGGCUACAUGUCACCUGAAUAUGCACUAUAUGGUCAUUUUUCUGAGAAAUUGGAUGUAUUUAGUUUCAGAGUAUUGUUGUUAGAGAUUGUGAGUGGAAAGAAGAAUGUUUUGUUUUAUUAUUGUGAAAAUUCAGUAACGCUUGCUCAUUGGGUAAGUUAAUAGACUUGGGAAGUUCAUAUUGUUUCUAUAGUUUUGAAGCCUUUGCAUAUCAGUUCGGACAUUCUAAACAUAAAGUAUGCAAAAGGAAGACUUAUUGUAUUACAUGUGUAAAUCUCAGAUAUGGGAAUUAUGGAAAGAAGGUAGAGGAAUGGAGGUAAUUGACACAUCAGUGAGGGAAACAUGCCGGAUUCAUGAAGCUUUGAGGUGCAUCCAUGUCGGGCUUUUGUGUGUUCAAGAAGCUCCAGUUGAUCGACCAACAAUGUCAUUAGUGAUUCAUAUGCUGGAGGCUGAAGAAGCUACAUCACUCCCGCCCUCCAAAGAACCUGCUUUCUCGACAAGUAGGAUUUCAAGUCCUGUUACCACUUAUUCCAAAAAUGUAGUAACUAUUACUUUGCCGGAACCUUGAUAGAGCUUCAAUAUUAGUGUUAGCUUUCAAAGUCGGACCAUUAAAAAAAGGGGUAAAAAAGAAGGUAUCAUUAUAGAUCUCAUGCUUCAUUAGGCCUCAUCAUUUGUAUGUCGACAACUCCUAUUUUGUAUUCUGCUUGUGGCAAAAACUGUUUGAUUAAUUGCAGCUGUUACAAGUUAAACGGUAAACUUCCUUCUCAAGAUAUCCAUAUGGAUGAAAGACUAAUGUGUCGUCUUGUUGAAUGACUUUAAAAUCAAGGAAAUUAAAACUGAAUUCUCUUGGUUGAAAACGUGAAUCUUUAACAAUGAAUGGAGAAAGGUUUGUCCGCAAGCCAUAUAUCCUGUCAUUCAACAACGACUCGUUAUAGUCGUGGAGGCGUAGACAACUAAUCAACUAUCUCCUCUAUCUUUUCAUGUAAGUUCGUUCUUGCUUUCCCACUGAUUCAUAGGUAUUACUUAAUUUUGGGUCUAGUCUGUUCCUGAGUUUCAUUCUUUUCUGGAAUUUUUGUGUCUGUUCUUCAUUUUCUGGGUAGUUGUACUUACUAGUGGUCGAUAUACUCUCUAGUCCAAUCUGUGAACUUACAAAGUUACACUAGCUUCAGCGAGUCCAAGGCAUGAACCUUUUUUUUCGCAACUCCUUCUCUCUGUGUUUCUGAAUGGGGUGGCUCUUGUGUUACCAAGUAACACUACUCUUAUCUUAUAUCCUGUCAUUCUGUACCUGCCAAGACAAAAUAGUACCAGGACAGAACAUUACCGGGAACCAUACUUUGGAAUCUUGCCUUGGGAACUUUUCAUUAGGCUUCUUCAAUCCUGAAAAUUCAACCAAAUACUUCCUUGGUAUACGAUUCAACACAUACCCAAAAACUGCACUAGUAUGGAUUGCUAACAGAGAAUCUCCGCUUGACUCUCCAGGUUUGUUUAUGCUCAACAGCGAUGGAAACCUUGUGGUGUUGGAUGAUACUAGAAACCUUAUUGUCUGGUCAACUAAUGCUUCAAUAUCUGCUUCUGCAAUGAAUCACACAACUGGACUACUAGAGGAUUCCGGAAACCUUGUUCUGAGCUUUGGAGAAGUCACUCUUUGGCAGAGCUUCGAUCAUCCCUCUGAUACUUGGUUGCCAGACAUGAAGCUUAGCUUGAACAAAAAGACUGGCCAACGAAGGCGCCUUACAUCCUGGGCAGCGCUUGAUGAUCCACAACCCGGAAAAUUCACGCUCGGCAUUGAUCCUCAAGUACCACUUCAGGCCUUUAUCUGGAAGGAAACUCUUCCGUAUAGUAGAAGUACUGUGUACGUUGGCAAGGAUACAAGAACAGAGUAUCCAGAUGUAGGUGGAUCAGCGCUUCUCCUUUCUUACGACUUUGAUGCUGAUGAGGUUUAUAUUGUUGUAACGGUCUCGGAUAGGUCAGUUAAAUUCAGGACGUGGAUGAGUGCUGCAGGGCAACUUCAACAGCUGCUGUGGCAGGAUUCUACAAAAACGUGGUUGGAACUGGGGAAUCCUGUUCAUAACUGUUAUUUUUAUGCUCAUUGUGGUCCCAAUAGUGUCUGUCGUAACGAUGAAUCCCUGUCGUCAUCACCAUGCAAGUGUUUGACAGGGUUUAAAGCCAAGUUUCCAAACCAAUUGGCGGUGGGGGAUUGGUCCGGUGGCUGUGUUAGGGAAAAGGUGUUUACAUGUAGUAACGACAUACAAGGCAACUUUUCGAAGCUUGAAAACGUGAAACUGCCGGAUUAUACUGUUCUGUUAAACAAUAAGAGUAUGAGCGAGUGUAAGUCUGAAUGUCAGCAGAACUGUUCUUGCACAGCUUAUGCUUAUGUAAAUGGAACGGAUGAAAGUACUGGGAAAUGUUUGGCAUGGUUUGGCGACUUACUGGAUAUAGUAGAGAAUCUCCAUGUUGAUGCACAUGAUGUCUAUAUUCGUGUUUACGGUUCUGAAUCAGGUAUAUAGUUUGUUUCUUUUUUUUCUUGCUAUUUUCUUUAUGGAUGCGUGAAGUAAAAUCCUUGGCAUACUGUUAAGUUGAGAUUAAACUCAUGCAUUGGCCAAAACUUGGAGCUAUCAUCUUUAAGAUCAAUUUGUUUUGUAGGCAAAAAUGAUCAUUCUGCUAAUUCCUUGAAGCGGACCCUUGUAAUUGCAAUAGUCUCUGCAGCAGUUGGACUUCUUACAAUAACUUUUGGCUAUUUCUUAUGGAAGAACAAACUGGGUACGCACUCCUCGAUCCCUUAUGUGCAGGCACAUGGAUUCUUGUAAUCACUUACAAAUAAUCUUCUAACAGUAAUACUGAAACAGGGAGGAUAGCUAGAAGAGUGAGUGAGAAUAUAAGUAAGGUUCGUGCAGGAGGUGGGAAGAAUGAUACAGAACUACCACUCUUCAGUUUGAGGAGUAUAUUAGCUGCUACAAACAACUUCUCUGAAGGAAAUAAACUUGGAGAGGGAGGAUUUGGCCCUGUUUAUAAGGUGACGCUUCUUUAAUAUGAUCUUCAUGCAAGUACAUUAUUCUUCAUUUUGAUACUUUCCCUUGUUAAUUCCAAAUUAUUUAAUUUUUUGAAAAGUCCAAAUUAUUUAAUUUUGAGGGUAAGGUUUGGUUCUUUUUGCCACUACAGGGAAUUUUGGCGGAAAAUAAAGAAGUGGCCGUAAAGAGGUUAUCAAAGAAGUCCGGGCAAGGACAUCAUGAGUUCAUGAAUGAGUUGGAGCUUAUAGCCAAACUCCAGCACACCAACCUUGCUCGGCUCCUGGGUUACUGUACGGAAGAAGAUGAACUGAUAUUGAUCUACGAGUACUUGCCUAAUCGAAGUUUGGACAAAUUUCUGUUUGGUAAGUAUGCUUAUGACUAUGAAGAUUACACUUUUGACAAUGUGACAUUAAAUAUGCAUUAUUUUUCCUAUCCUAUGUACAACUUUACGUCUGUAACGCAGUUCAACAUUAUGCUAAUUCUGCUUCAUCCUUAGAUCAUUUUGAAAAGACAAAGUUGGACUGGGCUACACGCUUUCAGAUUAUAAAAGGCAUUGCUCAAGGAGUACUAUAUAUCCACAAAUACUCUAGGUUGAAAAUCAUACAUAGAGAUCUAAAAGCAAGUAAUGUUCUGUUGGAUGGAACAAUGAAUCCCAAAGUGUCUGACUUUGGAAUGGCAAGGAUUUUUGAUAUAAAUCAAAUUGAAGCAAGUACCAACAAGGUUGUUGGGACAUAGUAAGUAUAUAUUACCCCUAAUUUCUAUCAUUUAGACUUUUACAAUGAAUAUUGAAGUUCAUUCUCUACCAUUCUUGCAGCGGUUACAUGUCACCAGAAUAUGCCUUGUAUGGUCAUUUCUCUGAGAAAUUGGAUGUAUAUAGUUUCGGGAUAUUGUUGUUAGAGAUUGUAAGUGGAAAUAAGAAUGCUUCCUUUUAUCAUUGUGAAAAUUCACAAACGCUUGCUCAAUGGGUAAGUUAAUGAACUUGGGAAGUUCUUAUUGUAUCAUGUGUUAUUAGGUCUUGCCUUUUAAUUAUGCAUAUUUACACACAAGUGCAUCGGAAAGCAAGAGUAAGAUUAAUGGUUUAAUAUGUGUAAAUCUCAGAUAUGGGAAUUAUGGAAAGAAGGUAGAGGAAUGGAGGUAAUUGACGCAUCAGUAAGGGAGACUUGCCGGAUUCAUGAAGCUUUGAGGUGCAUCCAUGUCGGGCUUUUGUGUGUUCAAGAAGCUCCAGCUGAUCGACCAACAAUGUCAUCGGUGAUUCAUAUGCUAGAGGUUAAUGAAGCUACAUCACUUCCUCCCUCAAAAGAACCUGCUUUUUCAACAAGUUUUAAUUCAAGUUCUGUUACCCCUUAUUCUGAAAAUAUAGUCACUAUUACUUUGCCAGAACCUCGAUAGAGCUUCAAUAUUAGUGUUAGCUUUCAAAGUCGGAUCAUUAAGAAAAAGGAACAAAAAAGGGUGUUAUAUAUUGAUAUGUUGAUACUAGUUGCAGUUUCAUUGGGGUUUUGUAAUCCUUAUUAUCUCUACCCCGGAAUGUGAUGAUGAACUAUGCUCGAUAUUUUUCAUUGUCAGAAUCAAAAUUAACCAAAACAAUGUUACAAAGUACACCAUGAUCUUGGAUAAUUUCAAGGGUAACGUGUGGUAUGCGUUAUUCCGCAUGCCUUUGUGGACUAAUAAGGCCUCACGACUCGUUAGUCUUGGAGGCUUGGACAAUUAUCUCCUCUAUCUUAGUUUCAUUAUUUUCUGGGAUUUUUGUGGCUGUUCUUCAUUUUCUGGGUUGUUCUACUCUCAAGAGUCUAUAUGUGACCUUACACUAGCUUCAGUGAGUCCAAAUUAUGGCAUGAACUUUUUUCCCUAUCUCUUAUUCCUCUGUCUCUCUGUUUCUGAAUGGGGUGGCUCUUGUGUUACCUAGUAACACUGCUCUUAUCUCAUAUCCUGUCAUUAUGUACCCCCAAGACAAAUUAGUACCAGGACAGUAUAUCACUGGGAAUCAAACGUUGGUUUCUUCCCUUGGGACUUUUUCAUUAGGCUUCUUCAAUCCUGAAAAUUCUACCAACUACUUCCUUGGUAUACGAUUCAACACAUUCCAAGAUACUGCACCAGUAUGGAUUGCUAACAGAAAAUCUCCGCUUGAUUCUCCGGGUUUGUUUACGCUCAGCAGAGAUGGAAACCUUAUAGUGUUGGAUGAUGCUAGAAACCAUGUCUGGUCGACUAAUGCAUCAAUAUCUGCUUCUGCAAUGAAUCACACAACUGGACAACUAGCUGAUACCGGAAAACUCGUUCUGAGCUUUGAAGAAGUCACCUUGUGGCAGAGCUUCGAUCAUCCCUCUGGUACUAUGUUACCCGGCAUUAAGCUUAGCUUGAACAAAAAGACUGGCCAACGAAGUCGCCUUACAUCCUGGGCAGCGCUUGAUGAUCCACAACUUGGAAACUACACCUUUGGCAUUGAUCCUCAAGUACCACUUCAGGGUUUUAUUUGGAAGGAAACUCUUCCGUAUAUUAGAAGUCCUGUGUUCGCUGGCAAGGUUACAAGGAUAGUCUUUCAAGAUCCAGGUGGAACUGCGAUUUUCUUUUCAUACAACUCUGAUGCUGAUGAGGUUUAUUGUGUUUACAGUGUCUCGGAUAGCUCAGUAAAAUUCAGGGCCUGGUUGAGUCCUACAGGGCAACUUAAACAGCUACUGUGGCAGGGUUAAAACUUGGUUGGAAGUGGAGACUUUACCUUCUGAAAACUGUGAUUUUUAUGCUCGCUGCCGUCAUAAUAGUGUUUGUAGUAGAGAUGAUUCCCUGCUGUCGUCAUCACCAUGCAAGUGCUUGACUGGUUUUAAAACCAAGUUCCCCAACCAAUCGUCGGUGGGGGAUUGGUCCGGUGGUUGCAUUAGGGAAAAGGUGUUGGCAUGUGGUAAUGGCAUACAGGGUAACUUUUCAAGGCUUCAAAACGUGAAACUGCCGGAUCAUUCUGUUCAGUUAACAGUAUGAGCGAGUGUGAAUCAGAAUGUGGGCGGAACUGUUCUUGCACAGCUUAUGCUUAUGUAAAUGGGACAGAUGGAAGUACUGGGAAAUGUUUGGCAUGGUUAAUUUGGCGAAUUACUAGAUCUAGUAGAGACUAAAAUUGUUGCAGCAAAUGUAAAUGAUAUUCAUAUUCGUGUUCAUGGCUCCGAAUUAGGUAUAUAUUUUGUUUUUUGUUUUUAUUCUGUUUGUUGCUAUUUUCUUUAUGGAUGUGUGAAGUAAAAUUCUUGGCAUACUAUUAAGUAAAAUUUCUUGGCAUAUUGUUAAGUUUGAGAUUAAAAUCAUUGGCAAGAACUUAGAGCUAUCUUUAUUAAUAUUUAAUAGUUAAACAUCAGAUCUUUGUCUGUUUUGGUAGGCAGUAAGGGUCUUUCUGUUAAUUCCUUGAAGAGGACCCUUGUAAUUGCAAUAGUCUCUGCAGCAGUUGGAUUGCUUACAAUAACUUUUGGCUAUUUCUUAGGGAAGAAAAAAUUAGGUACGCAGUCCUCGAUCCCAUAUGUGCAGGCACAUGGAUUCUGUAAUCUGUAAGAAUAAUAUUCUAACAUUAAUACUGAAACAGGGAGGAUAGCUAGAAGAGUGAGUGCGAAUAUAAGUAAGGUCAGUGCAGGUGGCGGGAAGAAUGAUACAGAACUACCACUCUUCAGUUUACGGAGUAUAUUAGCUGCUACAAACAACUUCUGUGAAGACGAUAAACUUGGAGAGGGAGGAUUCGGCCCUGUUUAUAAGGUGACGCUUCUAUAAUAUGCUUUCAAUCCAAGUGCAUUCUUCUUUAUUUUGGUACUUUCCCUUGUUAGUUCCAAAUUAGUUGAUUUUGAGGUUAAGGUUUUGUUCUCUUUGCCACUGCAUACAGGGAAUUUUGCCGGAAAAUCAAGAAGUGGCCAUAAAGAGGCUAUCAAAGAAGUCUGGGCAAGGACAUCAUGAGUUCCUGAAUGAGUUGAAACUUAUAGCCAAACUCCAGCAUACCAACCUUGCUCAUCUCUUGGGUUGCUGUAUGGAAGAAGAUGAACUCAUACUGAUAUAUGAGUUCAUGCCUAAUCGAAGUCUGGACAAAUUUUUUUCCUUUCUGUAUUUUUUUCCUUUCUGUUCUUAUGGAGGUUUUGGUCCCUGGCCUCCUCUCUCUGUACUCUCUUUUUUUCCUUCAUUAUUAAAUAAAAAUAGAGGGGUUUUCCCCUUUUAAUCAAAAAAAAAAUAUUCAUAUUAAAAAAAUAAAAAAUAAAAGUCUGGACAAAUUUUUGUUUGGUAAGUAUGCUUAGGACUUCGAAGGUUAGACUUUUGACAAUGUGACAUCAAGUUUCAAUAUUUUUCUCUAUCCUGUAAAACUUUUGCUAUGUAAUGCAAUUCAACAUGCUUCUAAGUUCUAAUUAUGCUUCUGCCAUAUGAUUUGUCCAAUUAGAUCCUUCUGAAAAGACAAAGUUGGACUGGGGUAUCGAAUUAUACAUGGUGUUGCUCAAGGAGUACUAUAUAUCCACAAAUACUCUAGAUUGAAAAUUAUCCAUAGAGAUCUAAAAGCAAGUAAUGUGCUAUUGGAUGGAGCAAUGAAUCCCAAAGUGUCUGACUUUGGAAUGGCGAGGAUAUUUGAUAUAAAUCAAAUUGAAGCAAAUACCAACAAGGUUGUUGGGACAUAGUAAGUCUAUAUAGCCAGUAACUGAUAUCACUGAAGUAUUUAACAUCACUCCUGAUACUCAUUCUUGUACUAUUCUUGCAGCGGCUACAUGUGACCUGAAUAUGCACUAUAUGGUCAUUUUUCUGAGAAAUUGGAUGUGUUUAGUUUUGGAGUGCUAUUGUUAGAGAUAGUAAGCAGAAAGAGGAAUGCUUCGUUUUAUUCUUGCGAAAAUUCACUAACGCUAGCUCAAUAGCUAAGUUAAUAAACUUGGAAAGUUCUUACUGUGUUUCGAGUGUUUUGAAGCCUUGCAUAUCAGUUAGGACAAUUUUUAACAUAAGGUGAAUCGGGAUGCAAGAGGAUUACUAAUUGUAUUAUAUGUGUAAAUAUCAGAUAUGGCAAUUAUGGAAAGAAGGUAGAGAAAUGGAAGUAAUUGACGCAUCAGUAAGGGAAACUUGCCGGAUUCAUGAAGUUUUGAGGUGCAUCCAUGUCGGGCUUUUGUGUGUUCAAGAAGCUCCAACUAAUCGGCCAACAAUGUCAUCGGUGAUUCAUAUGCUAGAGGUUGAUGAAGCUACAUCAUCACUUCCACCCUCAAAAGAACCUGCUUUUUCAACAAGUUGGAAUUCAAAAUCUGUUACUAAUUCUUCUAAAAAUGUAGUCACUAUUACUUUGCCAGAACCUCGAUAGAGGUUCAACUUUAAUGUUAGCUUUCAAAGUCGAAUCUAUAAACAAAAAAAAAAAAAAAUAGAAGGUAUUGUUAUGAUAUGAUCAUACCAGUUGCAUAUCUCAUGCUUCAUCGAUCGGGCAGCAUAAUUUGUAUGUCCGAAUUUCCUAUGUUGUAUUCUGCUCAGUUGCAUAUCUCAUGCUUCAUCGAUCGGGCAGAAACUGUUUGGUAAAAAACCAGAGCAGCCCUGCAAUCCGGAUAGGAGGAGAGUGGCCUCUCGAUAACCACUGGCCGAAAUCUUGAUCUAGCAAAGGCGGCAAUGGUCGCGGAUCGGGUUCGCCAGGUACUCGGGUUGUGUCACUGUCAGCGGGGAACCCUACACGCUCGGGGCUCUCAUCAAGUCCAAUCACGGUCAAGGCAACUAGUUUACUUCCCAUGCUUAGGUGGUAAGGUUUAUUUCCCAUGCUUGAGGCUCAUUCUGGCAAAAAUUAGGUGGCAAAAAUGGUUUCGUUUGCAAGUGUUUGCCUGGUUUUAAGCCUAGUUCACUGGACAAUUGGAAUCAUGGAGAUUAUUCAGGUGGAUGCACUAGGACGUCAACAUUACGUAGCAACAAUGCUGAGAGUGACACAUUCUUGAGCUUAAAGAUGAUGAAAGUGUGAAAUCCAGAUUCCCAAUUCAAUGCCAAAAGUGAGGUGGAAUGCAAAGUAGAGUGCCUUAACAACUGUGAUUGUAAAGCUUAUUUCUAUGAAGAGGUGGAGAACAGAAAAUCUGGUGGGAGUAGUAGUUCAACAUGUUGGAUCUGGUCACAAGACGUCACCAAUCUUCAGGAGGACUAUGAAGGUGGCCGAGAUCUACAGGUUCGUGUAGCAGUUUCAGAUAUUGGUAUGUUUCUUUUUUCUUUAACUAAAGAUGCUCGAGUCAUGGCAAUACUAAAGUAUCAUGAGAUUUGUUGAAGAUAAUUAGUUUUAUAAUUACUGAAUAAGUAAACUGGUUUAUCUAGUAAAAGUCUACAUAUUCUUUUCUGUUCAAUGCAAUGAUUUGUGAAUCAGAGGGUGAUGUGCAUAUCAGUAGUCUUAAACAGUAUCAAUAAAAUAUAGGCCACCCUGUAAGCAUUAAUCUACUCUAAAUUGAGCUCCAACCUUGUCUAAACUAAUUAGCUAAUAAUCACAAUAUUGAGCUACUCUGGCUUUUCUGAUUACAUGUAGUUGUAGCUCAUUCAGAUGACUAAUGAACCUAUUACAUACUAUUGUUGAUCGAUUGUCAUCCUUUUUUACACGACCUUUGUUAGAGAAUUGCUUAGGCCAGAACCUUUGUUCUUUAGUGUUAAAAUUUCCAGAAUCAUGUUUUCUCAGAAUCAACAGCAAGAAGCUGUGGAAGUUGUGGCACAAACCUGAUCCUUUAUCCCUUGAGCACUGGACCAAAGUGUGGUGAUCUUACUUACUAUAUAGUUUUUUCUGCAAUAUCUCAACUGGCCAGUUGAGCUUUGAAACACCAAGCAGCACCUACCAUGUCACAAGCAUCGAUGCGGACACACAAACAUUUGUCAUCCAAGCUGAUGAUGCCGAUGGAUGUAGAGAUGAAAAAUUUCUGAAGCUCAACCAGUCUUCUCCAUAUAAUGUGACAAGGAUGUGCAAAGCUGAUCCGACACGUUUUAGUCCCAACUUGUCAUUUAAAGGAGGAUAUGAAGUACGUUGAAGUCGCUUGGGAGUCACCCUUGGAACCACCUUGUUCGUCAUCUACAGACUGCAAGGACUGGCCCCAUUCGAUAUGUGAAGCUACUCUUGAUGGGAAGAAAAGGUGUCUUUGCACUGCAAACUCAAAAUGGGAUAGCAGGAGUUUGAAUUGUACUCAAAGUAAGCUUGCUUAUACUGUGCCAAACUAUAACUUUAUUAUACAUGGGGUAAAUGAGAGAUAAUGCAUGGAUGCAAAUGAAAUUAGUUAAAACCACUAAUCUGUCUUUGGCGUGACAACUACUUAUCUGUCUUUGUAUUGCAUACUGAUAAAACCACAUACCUUUUUGCAGAAGUUGGUCACAAAAAAAAACUGGUGAGCAAGGGAAGAUGACACUAGCUCUAAUCAUUGCAGUAACUUGCAUAAGUGUAGCUGUUCUAGCAAUUCUUUCUAGUACGUUUGCUUAUGCUUAUCUGUGGAGAAGAAGGCGCAUUAAGACAAAAGGUAACUAGCAUAUAUCCCCGACGUAAGUCUGUUUAGAGCUUCAUUAAUAUGAUCUAGGUUGAUUCUGAUGAUGUUAUCUUUGAAUUGAAUCAGAAGGCAGGGCAUAUCUUCAAAAAUGUUCAACACUUCAUCAUUUUUAUGCAAGUGAGAGAAAAGUUAAGAACUUGAUUGAAUCAGGCCGAUUUAGAGAUGAUGAUACGGAGGGCAUUGAUGUACCCUCUUUUGAUUUAGAAAGCAUACUGGUAGCUACAAAAUACUUCUCCAUUGCAAAUAAACUUGGACAAGGAGGAUUUGGUCCUGUCUACAAGGUAAUGUCCCUUUACUAUCUAUACGUCACUGUAAUAUUAACUGGUUCCUAAUGCAUUAUAGAACUAUGUUUGGAUUGUACUAUCAGGGUAAGCUUCCGGGAGGAGAAGAAAUCGCUGUAAAAAGGCUCUCAAGUUGUUCAGGCCAAGGCUUAGAGGAAUUCAAAAAUGAGGUUUUGAUAAUUGCCAAACUCCAACAUCGAAAUAUUGUUCGACUUUUGGGCUAUUGCGCUGAGGGAGAUGAAAAGAUGUUAAUCUAUGAAUACAUGGCCAAGAAAAGCUUAGACUCUUUCAUAUUUGGCUAGUCUCUACUUAUAUUCUCCAGUAUUAUUCAUUGCAGUAUAUUACAUGUAUUGAUUUAUAAAAACUGACUUAAACGUUAUGCUAUUGGAAUGAAAAAUGCCUUGAAAGAUCGGAAAGUAUGCGUAUCAUUGGACCGGAAUACACGCUUUAAUAUCAUCCUAGGCAUUGCUCGGGGGCUUCUUUAUCUUCACCAAGAUUCUAGAUUAAGGAUUAUUCAUAGAGAUCUGAAAACUAGCAACAUUCUACUGAAAGAAGAGAUGAACCCCAAAAUAUCAGACUUCGGCUUGGCAAGGAUCUUUGGAGGCAAGGAAACUUCAGCAAACACCAAUAGAGUAGUGGGAACAUAGUAAGUUUAACUAGAUUGAUGGUACGUAUGGUUUUCAUCGGAGCUAAUAUUCUUGGUCACAUCUCACAUCUCACAUCUCAAUCGAAAACCACAAAAGGGUGUGCAUUUCAACUAUUUAAGUUUUUCUCGCUGACUCCACUAUUGAUUCUUUUAUUGCAGUGGCUAUAUGUCUCUGAAGUAUAUAUACGUUGAGAUAUCAAUCCCACGUCGGGAAUAUGAGAUUUUGUCUGUGGGUUUAUAAGGGUUUGAGCCACUCCACCUAUUACCAAUUGGUUUUGGAUGUGAACCUUAAACUAUUUUAUCAUGGUAUCAGAGUGGGUUACCUACGUCCACGUGUGAAAGCCCAAAUGACCACACGGACUCCACGUCACCCAAAUAUUGUCCACGCGUACGUGUUAGGCUUGAAAAUUCGCCAUACAUGCGGGGGCGUGUUGAGAUAUCAAUCCUACAUCGGGAAUAUGAGACCUUGCAUAUGGGUUUAUAAGGGUUUGGGCCACUCUAUCCUUUCUCAAUUUGUUUUGAAUAUGAACCUCAUACUACUUUAUCAGUAUGUAUUAGAUCGAUUAUUCUCAGUAAAAUAUGAUGUUUUUAGCUUUGGUGUAGUUGUGAUUGAGAUCAUCACUAGGAAAAGGAACACAUGAUUUUAUCAGCCUGAAAGAUCUUCUUGGCUAUGUGAGUCAUAUAAACAUUCCAUAGCGGCUAGCUAGUAUUUAUAAUAUCAUAACACCUUACCUUUUGUAACUUAAUACCAGGCAUGGCAUUUGUGGAAAGAACACCCACUUUGUUAGAACACCCACUUUGUCACAGCUGCAACAAGGAGGAGUACUUCAAGUGUGUCAAUGUUGGACUCUUAUGUGUACAAGAAGAUCCAGGUGAUCGGCCAACCAUGUCACAAGUGGUUUUCAUGCUCGGAAGUGAAAGCGCAACAAUUCCAUCCCUUAAACAACCUGCAUUCGUUGUAAGGCGAUGCCCCUCAAGUUCUAGCAGGGCUUCCAACUCUUUAAGCAAGCCUGAAACAGUUUUGAACAAUGGCUUAACUGUCACCUUAGAAGAUGGUCGAUAACAAAAACAUUUGCAUCGAUCUAAUUUUGUUCUUAAUGUAAUCCCGUUAUGUUCAAGAUUGAUCUCUGAAUAUCAAUCCAUUUUAUUCUAUUUAUUCCAAGGAAAGGAUUCAACAAUCGCUUAGCCAAAAUCAGGGAGCAAAUAAUCUCAAUCUUUGAUAAUUUUGUCAUCAUAUAAUUGUUUUCAGUCCAUUCAACGAUGUAAAAUAUUACGAUGGGAUAAAAGAAUUAAGUAAAAGAAAUAGGGAUUCCCUAAUUCAAAUUACAAAUUUGUUAGGCCAUUUAGGAACUAUUCUCCUUACUGUUGAAUGUAAUAGUCUUGAUACAGAUGGAACCGUCUCUUCUAUCUUUUAAGGUACUAUUCUAUAGUCUAGUUGAUUCUUGCUUACCCACUGAUUAAUGGAAUAUAACAAUCUUUCUACAAAAAAAAAAAAGAAAAAAAAAGACCAUUGCAACAGAUUACAUCAUGAUCUUGGAUACUGUCGAAGUGUCAAGGGUAAUGUGUGGUAUGCGUUAUUCCGCAUGCAUUUGUGGACUAACAAGUCCUCACGACUAUUACAAGUAAUAGUCUUGGACAAGACGUACAGGAGUGGGCUGCUAUAAACCGACACCAAUUUGGACCAGUCGGCUGGCGCGCCGUUUUGUUAUCGUGGCGGUCUGUCGUCCACACGUCGGAGCCGUCGAGUCGGUUUGUGUGUUGUCCAUGAAAUGUGAAAAUGUGUCCGUCUGGUCAGUGAUAAAGGGUAGAACGGUAAACAACACCAAGAACUGAAGAGCUGUCUUCAGGAAAAGAAAACUGAAGAACUGGACGGAAAGCGGACAAAGGUGAUCCCAUGGGCCAUGGCCUUGCCGGUGAUUUCGAUUCAGGGUGAAAUUGCUUCAAGCUCCAAUUAUCUCGACCAAAUUUCUCAUAAAAGCAUCAACUUGGGAGCGUUCUAGGAGGAACCGAAUUCGAAGCACCCAGAAUUCGGUUUUUGAUGAAAUUAUCUUGGUUGUUGAACAAGAAGACCAGCACCGAAGCAAAUUGAAAUUGAAAUUGAGAAAAGUAAGUCUAGGGUUCCAAAUUGGCGGCGAAUUGAAUAAAAAGUUUAACUGAAUCUGUAAAUUGGGAUCAAGAUUGGGCUUUUUUAAUACGCGAAAUCAGAAAGGGAUUUGAGGUGGUAAGAUACCUUUUGGGUUCGGAAAGAGUUGGUAUUGAAGAACAGAAGAAUACGAUCAAUAAUAGCCAAGUUAAAUUCAACUGGGGAAGGAAACCAGAUGAUGAUGCAAACCAGUAUUCGCGGAUGACUUCUCGGGCCAUAUCGGGUUGGAGAGUUGGAGAAAGCUGGGAUUCGAUUAUGAAUGAAGACUGAAGAGGAUCUCCCAAUUCAAAGCUUACUCACUUUGGAGAUGAUGAUGAAUGAAUUUUUUGUUUUUUUGUUUUAAACAGAUUCUGCCAACGCGUGGAAUGGACAAUGGUAUAAGACUACUCUGCCCUCGGGUUAAACUCAGUCAAACUUAUAUUUUGUUACUCGGCUUGACGUCGGCUUCGACGCCGUCCACCGGUCCAAAUUCGUGUCGGUUUAUAGCAGCCCACUACUUCGUUUGUUCUUACUCUAGUCUAAUCUGUGAACUUACAACUUACAAGCUUCAGUUUGAGUCCGGCCAAAUUAUAUUAUUUACCAUUUUACCUUGUAGUCUAAGGCGAACCUUCUAUUCCCAACUCUUCUUCCUCUGUCUCUCUGU
rnacentral:lncRNA from 1 species